UUCUCUACCUUUCAUUCUGUUCUUCCUUCCUCUCUCGUUCUCGUCUCUAAAUCUCUGCUUCUCUCUCGUUCUCUCCCCCCUUACUACUACCAGAAACAUCGUUAUCAUCAACUUCAUAAACCCCCAAAUCUUUUUCCUUAUUUUUUUUCAAAACCCUAGAAAUUUCUUUCUGUUUAAAGAUCCACCAAACCCAAAACCUAAUGGUCGUCGUUCAAAAAGAAGAAGAUAGAAAACAUCUUGGAACUAAGGGUCAAUACAAAGGGGUUUGUUUGUUUAUUUGAUAUAUGUUGAUUGUGUAAAUGAAAUUUCAAUAAAUAGGUCAGGAUAAGAUUAGGGUUUUGAAGUUCUAAUUGAAUUUGAUUUGUUAAAGGCAGAGAUGGGGUUCUAGGUCUGCUGUAACAAGCUGGAUAUCACUCUGCUUGUUACAGGGUAUUUUUCCUUUUCUUCGUAUUUCAUCUUUAAUUACAAGACUUAUCUUCGUUUAAUGUAUUGAAUGUUUAAUUGGUAUUUUUCUUCAAUUAGUGGUGAUUGCUGUUUUUGGUUGAUUAAGGAGUAUUUUUAGUUUUUGAGUAAUUAGGAUUAUUGUGUUUGUUUAGAACUUACAGGCUAAAUGAUUGCAGGGAAUGAGCUAUGUAAGAUUACAAACAAGCAGCAAACUGGUUGAUCCUUCACUACAAACAUCAUUGACAUUUGGGUGGUUAGACCAAAUUUGGCUGCUCUAUUUUAUAUAGGUAAUCACUAUUACAGUCGAAGAAGAAGAUGAUAUUGUAAAACUUUCUGAUUACAAAGCUUCGUCAACGACAUCCAGUGGAGGGGCGAAAAGCUCACCUGAACCUUCUCCACCAAAAAAGAGGCGGAGCCCGUGAGCUCGCCUGAGCUAACAAGUUCAGUGGCUGCUGAACCUCCUCAAUCAGAAGGUCGCAAUUUUGCUAUCCCUCUUGCAAAAAAACUGGCUGAAGAGUGAAGAGAACAACGUGCCUAUUUCAAGCGUUAAAGGCACAGGUCCUGAUGGAAGUAUUGUGAAGGAUGAAAUUGAUGACUACUUGGGUAUAGUUUUUUCAAUGUCGUUUCCUGUGUAUUGGUCAUUUUCUUGGUAGGGUUCCUUUUGAGUAUCAAUGAAUACAUUUCACCUAAUGAUGUAGCU